GGCGGUAGGUACUUGAAAAAAGCGUACUGAGUGUCUCUAUAUCAGUCACAUUUGGUAUAAUUUUCUUUGUAGUUGUGAUAGGAACAGUGCGCGGCUAGGAUUAUCACCUGAGUGAAAUAUAAGAAAAUAAUAAUGAUUACGUCAUUAAUUUUCUCUUCAUCAUUGGUUGUUUUGCUAAUAUGCAGCUUCACUCCAUUCGCCGCCGCAGCGAAGAAAGUAUUUCAUUAUGACUUCGACAGAACUGGUGUAAUUAAAGAUGUACUUUUUUUAGACGAACAUUCCAAUUUUCUAAAUGAAUAUGAUACUGGAACAUUAUGUUACAUCGUUAUGAGUCACUCUUCGUCCGAAUAUUAUCGUAAAAUUUAUGACGUGGAUUUAUGUGAAUUUGCUGAGACAGCUUUCAGACUACAAAAAACAGUUUAUCUUUAUGGUAUCACGAUUAAAGGCGCCGAUAGAAUAGUUGGGCUUCAGUAUUCUGGUGCCGUAAAAAGAGAUUGGGAUUCCGAGUCCUCUCUCAUUUGUUAAAUUUUAAAAAUAACUUGUGCACAGAGCAAGCUAUAUUAUUUGUUAUCUUAGCACCCAACUGUAUGAAUUAAUUCUAUUGAGAACUGAAGAUAGUAAAAUAGAAUUCAUUACUGUCAUUAAAAA